rnacentral:lncRNA from 1 species
GCCAUGGAUACCCCCACUCUCAACUUAAACUGGUGACUGAACUAAGAUUUGUUAAAGGCAAUGGUAUUGCUGUUGUGAUUAGUUGUGUAGUUUUGGGUACCGGUAGUUAGGAGUACGGCAAACACCUUAUUUCUUUGGUUAAUCAAUAUACAUUUACCAUAUUAAACGUAGGCUAUGUGUUACAGCAGUACUUUUGGUGUCCCCCUCAGGAAUUACACUUGACAAAAUGUAAUGUAAUUGUCACCUCCAAAGUUGAUAUCAGAUUUUCGCCCCUGCCUGGAUUGUAAACUGUCAUGGUCAAAACAUAUUGAGCCAACAGUAGCUAAGAUGGGGAGAAGUCUGUCUAUGAUAAGGCGCUGCUCUACCUUCUUGACAGCACUGUCAACAACGCAGGUCCUUCAAGCCCUAGUUUUGACGCACCUGGACUACUGUUCAGUCGUGUGUUCAGGUGCCACAAAAGAGGACUUAGGAAAAUUGCAAUUGGUUCAGAACAGGGCAGCACGGCUGGCCCUUGGAUGUACACAGAGAGCUAAUAUUAAUAAUAUGCAUGUCAAUCUCUCUUGGCUCAAAGUGGAGGAGAGAUUAACCCCAUCACUGCUUGUAUUUAUGAGAGGUAAUGACAUGUUAAAUGCACCCAUGCAUACCCCACAAGACAUGCCACAAGGGGUCUCUUCACAAUCCCCAAGUCCAGAACAGACUAUGGAAGGCGCACAGUACUACAUAGAGCCAUGACUACAUGAAACUCUAUUCCACAUCAAGUAACUCAUGCAGGCAGUAAAAAAACACCUUAUGGAACAGCAGGGACUGUGAAGCAACACAAACAUUGGCACAAACACACACACACACACAUACGAUAACAUACCCACUAUACAUCCACAUGGAUUUAGUACUGUAUAUAUGUGGUAGUGGUGGAGUAGGGGCCUGAGGGCACACAGUGUGUUGUGAAAUCUGUGAAUGUAUUGUAAUGUUUUAAAAUUGUAUAAACUGCCUUAAUUUUGCAGGAACCCAGGAAUCCAUAAUAAACACAAAUACAAAUCAUUGACAACACUUGAGGUACGUGUAGUCGAGCUGUUUUCCUUCAGGAAUCUGUGGAGACAUUUGCUGCCCCACAUCUCAAGCACUAAGCCCAGGACAGACCUGUGCUGGCAGUGCCAGAGGAACAACUAUCAGGUCUUCAGAUCUGCCACAAGCUGUGAAGUCAGCCAAGCUGAAGAAGAAAGAGCAGCAUCUCCUGCUUGAUCAGAGUGAGCUGUCUGUCUACCAGAAGAUGGUUGCUGACUGCAAGGCCACCUGUCAAGACCUGUAUGUGACUCUGGGGGCUCCUACUGAACCAGCAAGCAAAGACAUAAGGAUGCUUUACAGCUUUGAUUUUGCUCAACAAGUACACUACCCUUCUGACCCUACGCAGCCAGGUCCCAUCUACUUUUUAACCCCUCACAAGUGUGGCUUGUUUGAUGUCUGAGGUGAAGAAAUACCACAAAAAGUCAACUACCUGAUUGAUGAAGGCAUGUCAUCCAGCAAAGACUGCAGCAUAGUCAUAAUCUACAGUACAUGUACCAUUUCUUCACCAACUAUGGAGUUGGGGAAACAAGUGUGGACUUGAACUGUGAUAACUGCAGUGGCAUAAACAAGAACAAGUUUGUGCUCUGGUAUUGUACCUGGCGGACCAUGCACAGGCUCCACCACAGUCUGGACCUUCACCUCCUGAUCACAGGCCACACCAAGUUUUCCCCCGACUGGUGCUUCAGCCUCAUCAAGCAGCGCUUCAGAAAGCCCAGAGUGAACACUUUGUCUGAGAUUGCUGGUGUUGUGAAGGACAGCACUGUGAAAGGGGUCAGCAUCCCACAGCUGGUUGGACUGGAGUAUGGUACCGUGCUGGUGGAAAGCUAUGGCUGGCAACAACACCUGACUCCGUACUUCAGGCCGCUAACACAGAUCAAGUAGUAACAAUGCAUUGUGUGAGGUUAUUCUUCUUAUCUAUACUUGGGAGGUGAAUUGUUGUGCAAGGUUGCAAGUCUUCAAGUUAUUUUUUGGUUAUUUCCUGUUUUACAGCUUCGAUGCUCUGGAGACUGGUGUUGUUUUGUUGCCAAGGAGCAUUCGGACUCAGUCAGGACCGGGUUUCAGCUGCUGCGCAACGCUGACAUCCUACCUCCCAUAGAUGGUCUGCCUGUACAAGCACCACCUGGACUGGAUACAGCUAGACAAACUUAUGUUUUUAAGAAGAUCAGGGAGUUUUGCGAUGAAGAGGCUAUGGACAUCACAUGCCUUGCACCAAAGUCAAGGGCAGGACAGAAACAGGCUCUCCGAAUAUAGAUUCCCUUGUUUGGACGGACCUGUCAUCAGCACUAUCUGCAGUGCCUCUAUUCAAUUGACUCUCUCCUAACACACACACCAUACGUUGCUGCUACAAUUUUUUAUCCCGCUGCUCAGCCACUUGACCCGAUUGUAUGCAUAAAACUACCUCGUCUAUAACUAGUGUUAUUGAUAUAUUGCAUAUUUGAUUUAUAUUGACGCUAUCUAUUUCUGAUAUUGCUACCAUGCAAGUAACCAUUUGGCUGUACUGUUUACACCUUCUGUAGAGACCCAUCCACUGAGCAAUACUUAGCAAAUUAUUGACAUAUAAAAUUAAUUUUUGAUAUGUGUGGUCGUAACAUAAUUUUGUGAUAUACCACAACAAUAUCAUGUGACCGUAUCAAGUGUCCACCACAUAAAUAUUUGGCACAUGCAUCUGUUUAGGCACUGUACAUGUGCACUUCACUCAGGUUUCAACUCAGGUUGCAUGGCCUUAACUUAUGUAUGGAAGACUGUGAUAAGUGCGUGUGUAACCG